GAUGAAGAACGUAGCGAACUGCGAUAAGUAAUGUGAAUUGCAGAAUUCAGUGAAUCAUCGAGUCUUUGAACGCACAUUGCGCCCCCUGGCAUUCCGGGGGGCAUGCCUGUCCGAGCGUCAUUGCUGCCCUUCAAGCCCGGCUUGUGUGUUGGGUCGUCGUCCCCCCCGGGGGACGGGCCCGAAAGGCAGCGGCGGCACCGCGUCCGGUCCUCGAGCGUAUGGGGCUUUGUCACCCGCUCGAUUAGGGCCGGCCGGGCGCCAGCCGGCGUCUCCAACCUUCUAUUUUACCAGGUUGACCUCGGAUCAGGUAGGGAUACCCGCUGAACUUAAGCAUAUCAAUAAGCGGAGGA
rnacentral:misc_RNA from 1 species